rnacentral:lncRNA from 1 species
UACUACCCAUUUGACACGGAUCUGAACUCGACACGGACGAACAGCCGUGUUAUCAUCUCAAAUAUCAUUGGGCAUAAAAAGAGCACAAGGAUUCCUUCUACCUGCAAAGAUCCAGGCCGGUGGCGGGGAUCAGGCAGGAUCAGUGGUGGCCCCCGCCGGCGGCCAGCUGCUGCUGGUGCUCGAGGUGGCGACGCUCGUGGGGUAGAGCGAGCAGGUAGCAGAAAAUCAUUCCGCCGAUGCAGACGUGGUAGAGCGGCAUGGAGGAGCUCGUCUCGAUGUACUUCUCGAUGUAGGUGUCGGCCGCCUGGUCCGUGGUCUUCUUGAUGUUCUCCCACGUCAGCCUCGGCUUCAGGUACGCCGGAAGCUCCCUCACCUUCAGCCCCUUGAUCUCGUUGUAGAACGCCCGCAACGCCAUAGCCGCAGAUCCACCGAAACACCGAGAGACCUAGAAAACCCUAACCCUAGCUUCCCUUCCUUGCGCCUUCGCCUUUGGU